rnacentral:rRNA from 1 species
AAGUAAAAAAUUAUUAAUUAUAAUAUUUUUUUUUGUUAGUUAAUAUAAAUAAAUUUAAGUUUAUGUUUUUUUGUAUAGUUUAUAGAUUAAAUAAUUUUUAUUAUAGUAGAUUAGUAUUGUGGAAGAAAUUUGAAAAAUUGUUUAUUUAUUUAAAAGUAAAAUUUAAUUUUUGUACCUUUUGUAUCAGGGUUUAUUAAUUAAGAAUUAAUGAUUUAAUAUUCUCGAAUUAAAAGGAGCUAAUAAAUUAUGAUAGUUUUUGUUUUAUAACAAUUAUUAAUUAUUUAUUAGUAAUGAAAUGUUAUUCGUCUUUUAAGAUAUCUAGUUUUUUAAGAAAUAAAUUUAAUUUAUAUAUUAUUUAGAUAAUUAUUUUAUUUAAUAAUUAAUUAUUAUUUAAUAUAAAUAUAUUAAGGGAUAAGCUUUAAUAUAUUAAUUAUAAUUUUUUUAUUAUAUUAUUAAUUGUAGAUUUAGAAAUGGUUAACAAUAAAGAUUUUGUAUUAAUUUAUAAGAAUAAUUUAUAAUAUUUUUAAAAAUUUAAUUUUAAUAUUAAAAUGUAGAUUUGAAUAAUAAAAAUUUAGUAAUAAUGAUGAAAUUAGUAUAUGUAAAAGUUUAAAUAAAAGAAUUUAUUAAGAUUAAUUUAAGGAAUUCGGCAAAAAUAAUAUUCACCUGUUUAACAAAAACAUGUCUUUUAGAUAAUAAUUUAAAGUCUGGCCUGCCCACUGAAUAUAAUUUAAAGGGCCGCGGUAUUUUGACUGUGCAAAGGUAGCAUAAUCAUUAGUCUUUUAAUUGAAGGCUUGUAUGAAUGGUUGGAUGAAAUAUUAACUGUCUCAAAUUAAUAAGAUAGAAUUUAAUUUUUAAGUUAAAAAGCUUAAAUGUUAUUAGAGGACGAGAAGACCCUAUAGAUUUUUAUAAUUUUUUAUUUAUAAAUAAUUUGGUUGAUAGAAGUUUUUAGGUAAGGAAUUAUUUUAUUGGGGUGAUAAAUAAAUUUAAUAAACUUUAUAAAAUAUAAACAUUAAUGUAUGAAUUAUUGAUCCAUUUUUAGUGAUUAUAAGAUUAAAUUACCUUAGGGAUAACAGCGUAAUUUUUUUAGAGAGUUCAUAUCGAUAAAAAAGUUUGCGACCUCGAUGUUGAAUUAAAGAUUAAUUUAGGUGUAGAAGUUUAAGUUUUUGGUCUGUUCGACCAUUGAAUCUUUACAUGAUUUGAGUUCAAACCGGCGUAAGCCAGGUUGGUUUCUAUCCUUAAUAAGUUAAAAUAUUUUAGUACGAAAGGACCAAAUAUUUAAAAAAGUUUUUAUAGAUAAGAAUAAUAUUAAUU